AUUUGUUACUAAACUUUUAAUUUUAAAUUAAAUUUAGUCAAGAUAUAAUAGUUAAAAAAUAUUUUGUAGAAUAUAUUAUAUUUGAUGUACUGUUAAUAUAUAAAUUUUAUAUAUUAUCAAUAAAUAAAAUGAUGUUAUUUCAUUAAUAAAAUGAAUAAGAUGAUAUCAUCUCAUUAAUAAAUAAAUUUUUUAAAUAAUAUUAAUUUUGUUGUAUAUCUAUUUUAAGGAUUGAUUUUGCUCAUUAAAUGGCAUCAUGUACACACAAAAUUUGUAUUGAAAAUAUGAUAAGAAAAGUUGGAGACAAAUAACAAAUUAUCAGAUUUGUGAAAAUUAUAAUCCCUAAAAAUUCUUAUUACAAAGAAAAUCAUUUGAAUUUUUUUUAACAAAAGUCCUUUUUAAAAGGUCAAGCAAACUUGUUCUUUAAUACUUUAAUAGUCAUUUAAACUUGUUUUUAAAUACUUCAAGGGUCUUGUUGCCUUAUUUUAAACAAAUAGAAUUAAUAUCCUUUCUUUGGAGGGAAUAAGAUUGAAGAGCAAUUUCUUGACAAUUUUAAAAAUUCAAAUGCUUUGUUUUAGGGUUCUUCAAAAUUUCUUCAAUUCUUUAGAGCUUGCAUCUUGAAACUUUUGAGAGAUUUUGGGUUUUUUAAAUUUUUUUCACUCUUUA
rnacentral:lncRNA from 1 species